GUCGAGGCUAGAAUCACACGUGGUUAUCAGCUAUUGCCUUAGUGUGCUAGAGUCCUCAAAGAGCAACUGCUGACCUUAUUCACUGACUCUGGCUCCCCUAUGGCGUACCCAGUCACCAGGUUAGUGACAUGC